AUUCCCCUAGUAACUGCGAGUGAAGGGGGACAAGCCCAGCACCGAAGCCUGUGGUUAAUUAACUAUUAGGCAUUGUGGUGUUUUGGUGGGUCUCAGGCUUGACUGCUUCAUCCCAAGUCCAGCAAUGAGUGCGGCAAUUGGACUGGCCCAAAGAGGGUGAAAGGCCCGUGGGGGUGAAGAUCAGAUUGGACAGUAAAGUCUUGGGCCUACCUUGGAGUCGGGUUGUUUGUGAAUGCAGCCCAAAGUGGGUGGUAAACUCCAUCCAAGGCUAAAUACUUACACGAGUCCGAUAGCAAACAAGUACCGUGAGGGAAAGUUGAAAAGUACUUUGAAGAGAGAGUAAACAGUGCGUGAAACCGCUCAGAGGUAAACGGAUGGAGUUGAACUGUAAGCUCUGGGAAUUCAGCCGAUGAGUAUGGCUUGUGUUUGGGCAAAUUGGUCGGCAAUCAGAGUCUGCGUCAAUUUAGCAGGUCCCCAUACCUCGGUGUGGGGAUGUGCGAUGCACUUAUCAGGUGUUGUGCGCUCUGAAUUGUCCGGGCCUGCUUGUUGGUGCACUUUCUCAGGGUGAUCACCACGACCGGCACUGCUGUCUGUCUGCUAUGGUCAAACCGAUCAGAUUUGGUCAAUUGGUUAAAUUUGGUCGGGAUGGCAGGUGGCUCAAUUGGGUCUGAGUUUAGGCUCUGAUUUAAAUGAGUGUAAUCUAGCUGGCUUUGGUGGAUUUGUGCAGUGUGUCGGAGAUUGCGGCUUUGGUGAGCAUUGGCGCCAUUCGGGUGACUGUAUUGAGUUUGAUUGGCAUGUUUACCGGCCUUGGUUGGUCUGUCGGUAGCUUGAUACAGUUCGCUCAUUGGUAUCCUUUGUGUACCACCUACUGGGCCUAUAUAGUCUGUGGUGUAGUUGUAUGCUUUCCAUCCGACCCGUCUUGAAACACGGACCAAGGAGUUUAACAUGUACGCGAGUCAUUGGGCUAUAUACGAAACCCAAAGGCGUAGUGAAAGUAAAGGGUCGGCUUGUCUGACCUGAGGUGGGAUCCUGCUGUGUACCAUGAUUGGGACUACCAAACCAUUUUUUCUAUAGCAGUGGGCGCACCACCAGCCCGUCUCAUGGCGUAGUCAUAUGACCUUGUUGUUGUGUGCACCGUCGGGGCGGAGCCAGAGCGUACACGUUGAGACCCGAAAGAUGGUGAACUAUGCUUGCGCAGGUUGAAGCCAGAGGAAACUCUGGUGGAGGACCGUAGCGAUUCUGACGUGCAAAUCGAUCGUCUAACGUGAGUAUAGGGGCGAAAGACUAAUCGAACCAUCUAGUAGCUGGUUCCCUCCGAAGUUUCCCUCAGGAUAGCUGGCAUUCGGAGUAUAUAAAAACAGUUUUAUCCGGUAAAGCGAAUGAUUAGAGGUAUUGGGGAUAAAUAAUCCUCAACCUAUUCUCAAACUUUAAAUGGGUGAGAAGCUUUACUCGCUUAAAUGGAGUGAAGCGUUGAAUGUGAUUGCCAAGUGGGCCAUUUUUGGUAAGCAGAACUGGCGCUGUGGGAUGAACCAAACGUUCAGUUAAGGUGCCUAACACAACGCUCAUGAGAUACCACAAAAGGCGUUGUUUGGUCUAGACAGCAGGACGGUGGCCAUGGAAGUCGGAAACCGCUAAGGA
rnacentral:rRNA from 1 species